rnacentral:lncRNA from 1 species
GUAAAGUCUAUUCUCAGGGAGUGUUUAUCAGGAAAAUAUGAACUUUCUUCUUUGUCAUUUGCAAUUACACAAUCUGCAAUAGGUUGACAUUUACUACAAAAUAGUCCCUUUGGCUGGGAAGUGCCCUAGCUCAUGGGUCUUGCCAACCCAGAUGGCCUCACUCUCACUGGCUGCAGAAACAAGCAUCUGACUCAAGGUCAGCCAACGCAUUGGUAUCUAGUAAACAAUCAGAUUUCUCUUUUUGGGGUUUGAACCAAGGGACAGAGAAAUUGGACUGAAACAUGGGGGCCAACUGGGGGCUGGCUGACAGAGUGAGCCAUGCACAAACACAGCACGCUUAGCCGGUGAGAGGAGCAUGGGGAGACAGCUGAGGAAGACCCUGUGGUCCACAGAGGAUAAAAAGGGGAGCAAUGGUAACUGUGUUUCCCUGAGGGAGGAAUGGUGGCGCCUCACUGCGUGUUGGCUGGUCCAGUUCCAUUUCUCAUGAAGCCAGACUCUGUUUCAGUUGCUAAAAACCAGGAAAUUGACAUUGUAUCCUCAUAUUACAUCUGUGUCUGUGGAUUAUAAGGGAAGUCUCCUGGACAGAAUGUAACCAGCACGUGAGAACUCGUGCUUUGUGGAAGUGAGUCAUGGACUUCCUCUACGUAAACAGUGCUCGCGGCUCCAUUCAUGCCGAACCGCUCACACCGGGCCCCAUCAAUGGCAAAACACGAGGCUGAGGGACUGAAACUUCUCUGUCUCCCUACCUUUGGAGUGUUCUAUGCUGUACGCUGACUUUUCCAAUCAAACUUGACCAAGUGUUGGGCUGGGAAAUCAGAAGUGCUCCUGGGAGCAAGAUUAAAUCCUCUGGGCCUGGUCAAAUCUGUGCUUGCUGUGUUUGAGAAGGAUAUCCUUGAGAAAGCAUCAACUGGAGAGACUUCCACCCAUGUUGACUCCUGGGCAGAACGUUCACUCAGCAGACGGUAUAGUCCAGCUCAAGACACCCUGGUGGCUCUUGUCUGGUACGCAGCAUACAGAGGCUCUUCUGCAGGCCGCAGGGAAGUUCCUCUAGAACAAUAAAGCACAGUACGAUACUGCUGAACAAGCGUUAUCACCCCUGGAGAAGUCAAGAAACAUGAGAGCUCC